GUAGGUGAACCUGCGGAAGGAUCAUUAACACGUAUCCACGUAUCCACCCCAUGUGCACUGUUCUUACACCUCCCUACUCGCUACCUAAGUUGGCUAUCGCACUGUGAUUUAGUUGAAUGGGAUCAAGAUUUAUUUUGAUCACAAAUCACUGCGUGACCUGAAUCUUCGGAUUCCAACAACUAAUAGCGAGGUAGGCACAAUUGCGUCUUCAUUACUACCUCUCCAUUCAAGAGGAAAUUUGUUGGCGUGAAAACCCACUCACCCCUUUCACCGCUUUUUUGCUAGUUGACUUUACUAAUGUUGAAUUCGUGCAGUGAUUCAUUUCACCGUGCAGUUCACACGUUUAAUUAUUUGAACGUUAAAGAUACAACUCUUAGCAAUGGAUAUCUUGGUUCUC
rnacentral:misc_RNA from 1 species